rnacentral:rRNA from 1 species
CACGUAGGGUGCGAGCGUUGUCCGGAAUUAUUGGGCGUAAAGAGCUCGUAGGCGGUUUGUCGCGUCUGCCGUGAAAGUCCGGGGCUCAACUCCGGAUCUGCGGUGGGUACGGGCAGACUGGAGUACUGCAGGGGAGACUGGAAUUCCUGGUGUAGCGGUGGAAUGCGCAGAUAUCAGGAGGAACACCGGUGGCGAAGGCGGGUCUCUGGGCGAGUAACUGACGCUGGAGGAGCGAAAGCGUGGGGAGCGAACAGG